CAGCCACCCAGAUUUGCACAGCCUGGCUCCUUUGAGUAUGAAUAUGCCAUGCGCUGGAAGGCGCUCAUUGAGAUGGAGAAGCAGCAGCAGGACCAAGUGGACCGCAACAUCAAGGAGGCUCGUGAGAAGCUGGAGAUGGAGAUGGAGGCUGCACGCCAUGAGCACCAGGUCAUGCUAAUGAGACAGGAUUUGAUGAGGCGCCAAGAAGAACUUCGGAGGAUGGAAGAGCUGCACAACCAAGAGGUGCAAAAACGAAAGCAACUGGAGCUCAGGCAGGAGGAAGAGCGCAGGCGCCGUGAAGAAGAGAUGCGGCGGCAGCAAGAAGAAAUGAUGCGGCGACAGCAGGAAGGAUUCAAGGGAACCUUCCCUGAUGCGGUAUAUCUCCCAUGUGCCCAUGAUGUACCAGACCAGUUGUGAUAAGACAAACUCACCAUGAAUUGUCUGCUAGGUUACCGGUUAUGACCAAUUUUCCCGUGUUGUGAAAUAACCCUUUAGAAAAAGGAAUUCAUAAGAAGGAGAGGUAAGGUUUGAAGAGGAGUUCUUGCCUCACAAGCAAUAUAGGAUGAAAAACUGGGUCUGCUGUAUUCUGUUUAGACUCAGUGACUAUAGGAAGAGAUAUGCAACCUUGGCUAGUCCUCUGCUGUCCUUGCAGUUGUACAGGUUGGAGCUUCAGAAGCAAUCUCUUCCCCCUUUCACCUCUCUGUUGCUAAUAGGAGGCUCUGGCUUAUGUCCUAGUAGCUCUGUGACCUUGAAUUUGUUGCACAACUAGCAAGGGUUGUGCUCCUCAGCUUUCUCAGUGCUGUUUGGACGUGUUAUCACUCUAUCUACUUCCCUUAGUGUGUGGUCCUUGAUGGAUUGUGGUAGAAUGCACUGCUGUCUUGGACUGUCUUGAGUAUUUUUUGUUUUUCAGAGAGAGCAGGAGAUUCGGAUGGGUCAGAUGGCUAUGGGAGGUGCUAUGGGCAUAAACAACAGAGGUGCCAUGCCCCCUGCUCCUGUGCCAGCUGGUACCCCAGCUCCUCCAGGACCUGCCACUAUGAUGCCAGAUGGAACUUUGGGAUUGACCCCACCAACAACUGAACGCUUUGGUCAGGCUGCUACAAUGGAAGGAAUUGGGGCAAUUGGUGGAACUCCUCCUGCAUUCAACCGUGCAGCUCCUGGAGCUGAAUUUGCCCCAAACAAACGUCGCCGAUACUAAUAAGUUGCAGUGUCUAGUUUCUCAAAACCCUUAAAAGAAGGACCCUUUUUGGACUAGCCAGAAUUCUACCCUGGAAAAAUGUUAGGGAUUCCUUCCAAUAGUUAGAUCUACCCUGCCUGUACUACUCUAGGGAGUAUGCUGGAGGCAGAGAGGGCAAGGGAGGGGUGGUAUUAAACAAGUCAAUUCUGUGUGGUAUAUUGUUUAAUCAGUUCUGUGUGGUGCAUUCCUGAAGUCUCUAAUGU
rnacentral:sRNA from 1 species